UACGGGGGGAGCAAGCGUUGUUCGGAUUUACUGGGCGUAAAGGGCGCGUAGGCGGUCGUGACAAGUCACUUGUGAAAUCUCCGGGCUUAACUCGGAACGGUCAAGUGAUACUGUCGGACUAGAGUACAGAAGGGCUACUGGAAUUCUCGGUGUAGCGGUGAAAUGCGUAGAGAUGUGGAGGAACACCAGUGGCGAAGGCGGCUUUCUGGUCUGUAACUGACGCUGAGGCGCGAAAGCGUGGGGAGCAAACAGG
rnacentral:rRNA from 1 species